rnacentral:lncRNA from 1 species
CCCGCCGAGGGACGGCGCCCAGGCACCCAGGCUCCGCGCUUCCUUCGGUAGAGACCUGAGGGGACCCGGCGCCGAGGGGAAGGUCGCGGGGCCGCGGGCCAGCUCAGCUCCACCUGCCCCGCGGGUGCCGGGCGAGAACCCCGCGCCGCGCCCCCUAGGCUGCCCGCCGCACCUGCCGCCGAGCCCCGCCGCCCGCCCGGGCCCUCCACCAGGAACCCCCCGCCCAGAACCCCCGUCCCGACCCCGGCCGCCGCACGCCUCACCCGGCGCCUGCAGUGCUCUGUGUGCUCCCCGCUGCCCUUGCGUCCGCCGAGUGCGCUCGCUGCCCGCGCUCCCAAGAGCCCCGGCGGGGUGGGUCCCGGGACCACGCCCCUUCCCGCCCAGCUCCCGACCUGUGAGGUGCGCCCCCCGCGAGAUGGCGGCAGCCGGGCCUCGGGCUGGGUGGGGGCGGAACUUGGCGGAAGUGCGCGCUACUCCCCUCGCAGAUGCAAGUGGGGAGGCUGUUUGUCCCACAGCGGGCAGGGGGAAGUCAGGAAAACGACACACUGCUGUUUGGGCAACCCUUUGUCAGGGCCUGUUAUCUCCCACUUGCAGAUCCAGGACAUUUCAGAGGUCAGAGAGAGGAGGGAGGCCUCUUCUGAGAUUUUGACCUCUAUUCAGCUACCUUAAUAAAGCAGUAUGUGCUGAAAUGCCCGGCACGACACAGGUGGUUAUCAGUCAUUUGGAUUGUCCUCUGCUCAAACUGUGAGUUCCUCAAAGUCUGGCCAUCGGAUCCUAGAACUUGCAACUGAGAAGGGGGAGACCUGGCUUCCAUGUAGAGGACACACGAUUUCCUCCCCUCUGAGGGGGCUCGUGAGGGUGACUGUCGGGCCUCUCCUGGAGCCUCAGAGGAGAAGGACUCACUUGUCUGUGGGUGAAUUUGGAAGGAGAACCUGGGCAUACAGAGCCCAGCCCUUUGGCUCACUCUUCCUCUUGGGAGCUGACCACCCGCACACUGCUCUAUCUCUUCCAGCCAUGCAUGUUGUGGGGCCUGGUCCCCUGUGGAUGGCCCAUGGUGGCCUAGAGCUGUCUCUGCCAGGGGGCAUAUUUGUCUAAUUCCGUCAUGCAGUUUUAGGCAGUCCACUUGCCUGUAGAUCGAGGCCAUGCCCUCCAACGGUGGCUUUAUCAGCAGUAAAACUUGCAGGUUUCAUCUCCCUUGUCUCAUUCACUGGCCCUUUCACAUUGCAACCAGCACCUCUGCUGGCUCCCAGGCUGCUCCGCUGGAGCUGAAAAGAAUUAUGUACAAAACUAGCCGGCUAGCAGAACACUGGAGCUGAGGAGCUUUUCCAGAGGGAGGGGGAAGCGGUGGCCAACAAGCCCUGGAGGCCCCAUCCGUCGCCUGCAUCGCGAGAAUUGCUGAGCCAAGAAAGCUACUGGCCUCUGAUGCCCGUGUUCAUCAGUACCAUCAGAGCAUACACAAUCAUGGCCGACAGCACGUGCAGCCAGGGCGGCUUCUUCAGCUUCAGGAGGCAGAGGUGAACAGAAGAUGGAGACAAGGACAAAGUCAUGAUAAGAAGAGAGGAACUGUUUUUUACAGAAGCUGACAACAUAAGAAAACAUGUUAGCUCCCUUUUUCUAAAAGGUCUCCAUCUGUCGCCCAGGUUGGAAUGCAGCAGCACAAUCUCAGCUCACUGCAGCCUCGACCUCCUGGGCUCAAGUGAUCUUCCCUCCUUAGCCUCCCCAAGUAGCUGG